UACGAAGGAUGCUAGCGUUACUCGGAAUUACUGGGCGUAAAGAAUGCGUAGGCGGAUUAUUAAGUUGAUAGUGAAAUCCCCGAGCCUAACUCGGGAACUGCUAUCAAAACUGACAAUCUAGAAUAUGGUAGAGAGUAAGGGAAUUCUUGGUGUAGGGGUAAAAUCCGUAGAUAUCAGGAGGAAGACCGGAAGCGAAAGCGCUUACUUGGGCCAUUAUUGACGCUGAGGCAUGAGAGCGUGGGGAUCGAACAGG
rnacentral:rRNA from 1 species